GCCACUGCACUCCAGCCUGGCGACAGAGCAAGACUGCGUCUCAAAAAAAAAAAAAAGGCUGGAAUGCAAUGGCACAAUCUCGGCUCACCACAACCUCCGCCUCCCGGGUUCAAGCGAUUCUGCUGCCUCAGCCUCCUGAGUAGCUGGGAUUACAGGCAUGUGCCACCAGGCCCGGCUAAUUUUGUAUUUUUAGUAGAGAUAGGGUUUCUCCAUAUUGGUCAGGCUGGUCUCGAACUCCCAACCUCAGGUGAUCCGCACGCCUCAGCCUCCCAAAGUUCUGGGAUUACAGGCAUGAGCCACCGCACCCGGCCAUUUGUAUGUAAUUUUCUAUAUUUAUUGAAAUGCAUUUUAAGUAAUAUGAAAGCAUUUUUCUCCUUACAAUGGAAAAACCAACUUGAUUUUACAUUUAUUUAUAUAACCUGACUUAAUUCUAUGUAAGUCAAGUGAAAAAGGAAACAACUGCUCUGUGGAAUCAACCUGAAGAUGUCUAAUUUUUCCUCUGAUACCACCAGACUUAAAGCAGUUCACGAUCCUCUCUACACCCAAAGACUAGAAUUCCAUUUCUAAACCCAGCCCAGCAGCCGGAAGUCAUGAAGCAGUCAACCUGCCUGGACAUCCAGCUAUGCUCUGCUGUGCCAUUCUAUCCACCCAUCAAGACUCCCCUCCCUUCUACUGAUAACCCUCCUAAAAGCCAACUGGGAUUGAAUUACUCCUCUGCCAAGAACCCUCUGCUGCACCUUAUUCAAGGCCCACCAUAAAAUGAUGCCAGCCCACCUCACCCAAAACCUCUUCCAGAAAGUCCCAGCUCCACCCUGGCUCUCUCCUCCACAGAUGUCAGACCUGUAUGUGGUCUGAUGGCUCUCUCAGCCUCCUUCAUUCUCUCCCCAUUUCUGCCACAUUUUCCCCAAUAAAUCUUGUGUGUGUCUAA
rnacentral:lncRNA from 1 species